rnacentral:rRNA from 1 species
CACGAACGCUGGCGGCAGGCUUAACACAUGCAAGUCGAGCGCCCCGCAAGGGGAGCGGCAGACGGGUGAGUAACGCGUGGGAAUCUACCCAUCUCUACGGAAUAACGCAUGGAAACGUGUGCUAAUACCGUAUACGUCCUUCGGGAGAAAGAUUUAUCGGAGAUGGAUGAGCCCGCGUUGGAUUAGCUAGUUGGUGGGGUAAAGGCCUACCAAGGCGACGAUCCAUAGCUGGUCUGAGAGGAUGAUCAGCCACACUGGGACUGAGACACGGCCCAGACUCCUACGGGAGGCAGCAGUGGGGAAUAUUGGACAAUGGGCGCAGGCCUGAUCCAGCCAUGCCGCGUGAGUGAUGAAGGCCCUAGGGUUGUAAAGCUCUUGCACCGGUGAAGAUAAUGACGGUAACCGGAGAAGAAGCCCCGGCUAACUUCGUGCCAGCCGCCGCCGUAAUAC